rnacentral:rRNA from 1 species
UGUUGGUUUAAUUCGAAGAUACACGAAGAACCUUACCUGGCCUUGACAUGGUAGGAACCCUUAAGAGAUUAGGGGGUGCUAGCUUGCUAGAACCUACACACAGGUGCUGCACGGCUGUCGUCAGCUCGUGUCGUGAGAUGUUGGGUUAAGUCCCGCAACGAGCGCAACCCUCGUCCUUAGUUGCUAACAGUUCGGCUGAGCACUCUAGGGAGACUGCCUUCGCAAGGAGGAGGAAGGUGAGGACGACGUCAAGUCAUCAUGGCCCUUACGGCCAGGGCUACACACGUGCUACAAUGGGGCGUACAGAGAGCUGCGAUACCGCGAGGUGGAGCCAAUCUCUUAAAGCGUCUCUCAGUUCGGAUUGUUCUCUGCAACUCGAGAACAUGAAGCUGGAAUCACUAGUAAUCGCAGAUCAGCUAUGCUGCGGUGAAUACGUUCCCGGGUCUU